rnacentral:rRNA from 1 species
AGUGAACGCUGGCGGCAUGCCUAAUACAUGCAAGUCGAGCGGACGCACAGUAAGCGCUCUCUCCUACGGUUAGCGAGGGGCGGACGGGUAAGGAGUACAUCAGCAACCUCUUUUUCUUGGGGGACUUCGGGGAGAAACUGCCGCUAAUGGCGAAUAUAUCCUACGGGUUGAUUCAGUGGAUCUACAGACUUUUGGCGUCUCAUUGAGCUGAUUUCGCGCCGGCUUAGCUAGUUGGUAAGGUAACGGCCUACCAAGGCAACGAUCCGUAGCCGACCUGAGAGGGUGAUCAGCCACACUGGAACUGAGACACGGUCCAGACUCCUACGGGAGGCAGCAGUGGGGAAUAUUCGACAAUGGGCGCAAGCCUGACCGAGCCAUGCCGCGUGGGUGAUGAAGGUCUUCGGGUCGUAAAGCCCUUUUGUUAGGAAAGAAAAGAUGCAGAUUAAUCUCCGGCCGUUCUGACGGUACCCAAAGAAUAAGCACCGGCUAACUUCGUG